rnacentral:lncRNA from 1 species
CUGAAAGAACAGGCAAGAACAAUUUUAGAGGAGGAAAAGUUUAUUUGGGGGCUCAUGGUUUCAGAGGCCUCAGUCUACAGAGAGCCACCUAUGUUCCUCAGAGCUCAAGGACAACUGAACAUCACCGUGAAAGUGUGGCAGAAGGAAGUGGCUCAAGCCAUCCCUCCAGAAAGCAGAAGAGAGUGAGUUCUGCUCAACAAGGACAAAAUAGAUAUCCCAAAGGCAUGCCCCAGGGACCCACCUCCUCUAGCCACCAGCCUACCAGCCUAUGGUUGUCAUUCCAUUAAUACCUAAGGCUCUUCUAACUCAAUCAUUUCUCCUCUAAACCCAAACAUUUCUCUUCUAAAUCUCAUCUUACACAUGAGAUUUUGCGGGACACUUCAAUUAAACUAACAGCCAGUGAUUUCUUUGGGGGUUUUGAUGAGUCUGGGCUUAAUGGAUAAUAGGGCCAAUUAACUGAGUAUUCCCUAAACAGAUUGUUUCACAGGUAUUCAGGACUCAAGGCUAGGAGUUCAGGACUUUCUGCAAAUCCCAAAGAACCAAGAGACUGAACUCAGGAUCUGGUCCUAUAAC